AGUAAGUUACGGGCCAUGUACCUGAAGGUUACAUACUUGGUCCCAAUACCUUCUUUGCUUCCUGCUUCCUGUUCAUGGUGAAUUAAACCACCUCUUCUCCUACGUGCUCCCGAUACUGUGAUGUUCUACCCACGUACUAGGGACCAAGUGACUGUGGACCAAGAUCUCUGAAGCUGUAACCGAAAAGAAAUCCAUCCUCCCUUAAGUCAUUUCCGUUACACAUUUUGUCGCAGAAUUAGGUGAAUUAACACACAGCAAACCCCACGGCUUCCCAGACGGGAUCCUUCUGCUCCCUUCUACGAGGGCAGACUACCUCUGAAGACCCAACUCAAACACCCUCUUCUCUGUGUGGCCUUCCCCUCCCUCUCAGCAAAAAGGAGAAGUGGAAUAACUGUUGCCUCAAGCGAUGCAAGCUGACAUGUGAAGACUUCAUUGAGUGGUCACCUUUCUCGUGGCUUCUCAGCAUAGGGAAGGAUAAUGUAGAUAAACAGUGUGCUCUAAGAAAAUCAGGUAGCUCUGAAAGUACCAGAGAGGUGAGAGAUAAUUGCUGGGCUAUUUAAAGCUAUUUGGAAAAGCUGCUUGUUGAACGGGACUGUUUUUUUUGUUUGUUUGUUUGUUUUUGUUUUUGUUUUUUUUUUUUUUUGAGACACACAACUGCCAUCUUGGAGUACAGCUGUGCCCAUCCAGAAAACGAUGAUGCCAGCUGGACCUGCUGACGGUUGAUAUCUUCAAGAAGGGGGGAGGGGGAGGGGACCACGGGAUGCUCUUCCAAGUGUCCAACUCCUCCCUAUAGCCUGUAAUUGCAUGUGGCAUCUGGGAGGGGUUGGAGUUUAUAGGUCAGGGAAGACUUGGGGAGGCUAAGAGGAAGCCCUCAUGCCUGCUGGGUAAAGGCUUCAGAUCCAGCCUGUUAGAGGAGGGACACCCUCUGCCCUGUAAAUAACCCCUGACCUAUGCUUUCUAAGGAUGCUCGAUAAACUUAUUGGAUCCCCAGAGAGCACGUUGGCAGAAUCAUGCUUCAGUUUGUCACUAGGACCUUAGGAGAAGGGGUAGACAUUGCUAAUGUUUCCCAGAAAAGAAUUUUAGUAACUCUUCUGCAUGGACAGAAGAAGGAAAUGGUUUGCUUUGCUUAUUUCUAUAAAGACUUAUGACAAUCGUUUGCUUAACUCAUUCAUCUGGGAGGAGUGGCUGGUACUUCUGUGGGUGGUCCUCCCUAACUGAGCCAGUGUUCACUACAUCUCUAAAGGGAUGACAACACCCCCUUGUGUUUUGGGAAACAUUUAAAAGAUAUGGUAUUUUCCUGUGAUACACCCAGUUUCUCUCAGCCCUGGGAAGUCUCGCUGGCCAGUUCUUAUCUUGUGGAGACUCUCUGACUCAGAGCUCCAAAAUUUCUCCGCCCAGCUCGCUAAGUUCCCACUGGUGGGUCCCUACCACAACAGCCCCAUGCUUCAAAUCCCCCACAGCCUUUGUGGUGCACAUCUGCCAAACCCACGCUUAGCCUACAGUACCUUUCUCUCUUGAACCCAGUCAAAGCACCGCAUGAAGGAAAAUGUAACACAAACUUAGUUCAGAAACAAUGGUAACUCAAUCAUUGCACACAACAACUAGAAUCCUAAUCUUGUAAGUCAUUUUAAAUCUAAAUCCUUGGGUAGAAAAUCUGGCAGAUUCGCCAUAUAAGCUGGGAGACACUAGUAGCUACAUCUUACCCUCUCGUUAUCCCUAUUCAUAAAGACCCCUAACUCUUUCCUGCUUUCUCUCUCCAACCCGGAAGUCCCGCCUACUCGCCCAGUGAUUGGCUCCUUUAUCCAUUCAGGGAAGGUUCAUAAGAAGUCACUUGAGUAUGUGACUCAUUCCUCAUUCCAGACAACCCCUGUUGGGAAAGCAGAAUUAACAUCAAAAUACAGGCAUCACUAAGGCCAUCCACAACACCCUUCCUGCUCCUAGGAGUGCUCCCUUUUUCCUCCUCCUCUCCUCCUGUCCCUUUUCUUUCAAGGUACUGUAAUGGCUGCUCAUAGAAUACAUUAACAGCUGAAAGGAAACUUUCAUGUUGUGAUUUUUGUUGUUGUUUUCUAUUUUAAAGCUUGAACUUACUUCAAACACUGGCUUGUCAAUGUUUUGAUGAUCAUAACAGGUGGUAUUUAUCGAGCAUUAUAUAUUGUUCUAAGUGACAGGUAUAUAUUAAAUCAUUUUAUACUACCGCAAUUCCCAGAGGUGUCAUUACUAUGACUUACAGAUGAGGGCUCUAUGCUGCAGAAAAAGGUUGAAGUACCCAAAACUCCUCAGCUAUGAGCCCAGUGGUUGUUGCUAGAGUCUCGCCUCUCUUUGAGAAGCCUUUACGGCUGUGAUUCUAGUUGACAUUUUAUACGCCAAAUACAGAAAAAGAGUGUGUCCUGUGAAGACUGUGGAAAGGGUUGCUAUCAUACACACAAUAUUUUUAAGGUUUUAAGUAAUUGGGGCUUUAGAGGGCAAACAGAUACCAGAAAACACAAAUAAUACCUUGUGUCUCAGAGGCUAUAUACAGCAUUAUGGUUGAAGGGGUAAGAGGCUAGACUCGAACCAACCUCAAGACAUUCUUACAAGGCUACAGUAUGAAGAAUUAGCUAUUCAAGCAGUCUGUGUUAAGAUCCAUUAAAAGAAGUCAAUUAUGCAUGCACCGGGCAGCGGAAGCCCUCGUCACUGUUGACAGUACACUCAUUUAUUCCAUAUGAUUAGCAGGAUUUGUCAGCAAUGAAUUACAAAUUUUCCCUUGUAAAGGCUGUUUCCUCCCUCACUUAUAUAUAGGCAAAAGCCGUAUCUAGCAUAGAAAACAAAAUAAAAAUAACUGCAUGUAUUUAUAAGCAGCUCUGUUUAUAAAUCAGUACAUUUCCCCUUUUGAGAAAACAGUGUAGAAUCCAAGUGUGGGCGGUAGUUUGAAUAUGGAGAUCUGUCAUGUGCUUUCAGAAGCAUUUCAAGAAAAGCGCUGAGCUAAUUAAGUCUAUUAUUUGCCUUCUUCCUUCGAAGAAAAGCACACACAUGUUCCCUGGGGCAGAUCACUUCCAUAAGGAGAAAGCCCCAUGCUGUGGGUACAGUCAUAGCUCUCUGUCCUGGCUUGUUGUGAACUAGGGAGGAAAAUGUUCAGGUAGAAUUCCUCACAGAAAGAAAAGGAGGGUUUUGAGUUUUUUUUCCCUUAGAGAAGUUAGAAAGUUUUGGUGCUCUCACAUGGGAUAAAAGUCACACUGGCUGCGAAGAGAAGCCCCUGUCCUUAUGUAAUGUCCCCCACUAACGAGGAAGCUUUAUGUGUUCUUCAGGAGUUAAACAGUCAUGCAGAUCUGCUUUAGAAGUCGAGAAUUCUCUCUGUUGUAUGUUAGGCACGAGGAUGAACUAAGAUGACGGGUAAACUAGCCAUCUGCUAAGGACUCACUCACCAGGCAAGCUGGCAGGCAGCAUUUGCCUCCCAAGGAACAGUGGUUUCAGAGUUUGGCCAGGGUCUUAUUUGUCUUCUGGAUGCUACCCUGUCUUCUGGGGCCUGGCUAACGAUCUACAGAGCAUAUGGCUGGGCUCUUUCCUCUUCUAUUGGCGUUUGAUCUCAGUGAUGGGCCGGCGGAGUUGGACACCAUGUGUAGCCUUGUAGAACCUGGAAUUUGCCUAUGCUCAGUCUUGGAUGGAUCCGGAAUAGUUUCAUGGAACAGUGAUAAUUGCCCACACCAAUCCUGUGUCAUUUUGAGGGGUCUGCUGAUGGUACAAACACUAACUGUUGUUAAGGCUCAUUGCUAGUAAAAAACAAACAAACAAAC
rnacentral:lncRNA from 1 species